rnacentral:rRNA from 1 species
AGUGAACGCUGGCGGCAGGCCUAACACAUGCAAGUCGAGCGGCAGCGGGUCGUAGCAAUACGAUGCCGGCGAGCGGCGGACGGGUGAGGAAUACAUCGGUAUCUACCCAGUCGUGGGGGAUAACGUAGGGAAACUUACGCUAAUACCGCAUACGACCUGAGGGUGAAAGCAGGGGGCCGCAAGGCCUUGCGCGAUCGGAUGAGCCGAUGUCGGAUUAGCUAGUUGGUGAGGUAAAGGCUCACCAAGGCGACGAUCCGUAGCUGGUCUGAGAGGAUGAUCAGCCACACUGGAACUGAGACACGGUCCAGACUCCUACGGGAGGCAGCAGUGGGGAAUAUUGGACAAUGGGCGCAAGCCUGAUCCAGCCAUGCCGCGUGUGUGAAGAAGGCCUUCGGGUUGUAAAGCACUUUUGUCCGGGAAGAAAUCUUCCGACCUAAUACGUCGGGAGGAUGACGGUACCGGGAGAAAAAGCCCCGGCUAACUUCGUGCCAGCAGCCGCCGUAACAC